rnacentral:tRNA from 1 species
GGUAAAAUGGCUGAGAUAAGCAUUGAACUGUAAAUUCAAAGACAGAGAUUAGUAGUCUCUUUUUACCA